GAUGAACGCUGGCGGCGUGCUUAACACAUGCAAGUCGAACGAUGAAGCCCAGCUUGCUGGGUGGAUUAGUGGCGAACGGGUGAGUAACACGUGAGUAACCUGCCCUUAACUCUGGGAUAAGCCUGGGAAACUGGGUCUAAUACCGGAUAGGAGCGUCCACCGCAUGGUGGGUGUUGGAAAGAUUUAUCGGUUUUGGAUGGACUCGCGGCCUAUCAGCUUGUUGGUGAGGUAAUGGCUCACCAAGGCGACGACGGGUAGCCGGCCUGAGAGGGUGACCGGCCACACUGGGACUGAGACACGGCCCAGACUCCUACGGGAGGCAGCAGUGGGGAAUAUUGCACAAUGGGCGCAGGCCUGAUGCAGCGACGCCGCGUGAGGGAUGACGGCCUUCGGGUUGUAAACCUCUUUCAGUAGGGAAGAAGCGAAAGUGACGGUGCCUGCAGAAGAAGCACCGGCUAACUACGU
rnacentral:rRNA from 1 species